rnacentral:piRNA from 1 species
UGGUGUUCUGAUUGAAGGUGAGAAUGGA